CUGCACUAGAUACUAACCUGACUGUCUGCUGCCCAGUAGUAUUUUAGUACUGGUGCACUUUCAUGGCCGUCGGGUCCAGAAUGGUGCUAUAAAAACAAACAACAAGCCCUGUGAUUUAAGCACUGAGAGGGAAGUCAUUACCUCAGCUGUUAUUACUCAGGGAUACACAA